AAAAAUUAAAUUGAGGUUUUUUUUGCACAAAAGCCUUAUGUUUUAAAAGAGAGUUAUCGAGUGCCAUGUCAUCGCUACAUGGGAGGACUGUAUUGCGGGUGACUUUUGAGAUUGUGAGAUUGACUUGCAUAAUUCGGACUUGGAUGAAAACUUGCAAACGAAAUUGACUUGAAGGGUUGUUUUGCAGAAAACCCUGAUACCCUAAUGUUAACUAAGAUACAAAUCUGUUAUCGUAUGAGAAAUGCUUUUACCAUUUAUUUAUUAAGAUUAGGUAUGUAGAUUCAAAAUCAAGU
rnacentral:sRNA from 1 species